CCUACGGGAGGCAGCAGUGAGGAAUAUUGGUCAAUGGUCGGGAGACUGAACCAGCCAAGCCGCGUGAGGGAGGAAGGUACAGAGUAUCGUAAACCUCUUUUGUCAGGGAACAAAGACUGGGACGCGUCCCCGGAUGAGUGUACCUGAAGAAAAAGCAUCGGCUAACUCCGUGCCAGCAGCCGCGGUAAUACGGAGGAUGCGAGCGUUAUCCGGAUUUAUUGGGUUUAAAGGGUGCGCAGGCGGUCUGUUAAGUCAGCGGCAAAAGCCCGGGGUGCAACCCCGGCCCGCCGUUGAAACUGGCAGUCUCGAGUUGGAGAGAAGUAUGCGGAAUGCGCGGUGUAGCGGUGAAAUGCAUAGAUAUCGCGCAGAACUCCGAUUGCGAAGGCAGCAUGCCGGCUCCACACUGACGCUGAGGCACGAAAGCGUGGGUAUCGAACAGGAUUAGAUACCCCGGUAGUC
rnacentral:rRNA from 1 species